GUAAGAUGAAAAUAUCGAAACAUGUGUUCGAACUUAACUUCUUGGUGCUUUUUAUAGUAUGGGGAAGGGGGACAUUUCUCGAAGGAUUGUCCACAAGAGGGUCGCGGCGGUGGUGGAAGUCGUACCUGCCAUGAGAUAAACAAAAAACAAAAAAAAACAUCAUUUUUAGUGCUCAUUUUUAACGAAGAAGAGGGCAAUAUAGCAAGGGAUUUUCCUCAAGGAGGAAGCAUUGGUGGCAGCAACUUUUAUGAUUGUAAUGAAGCUGACCACACCUCGAAAGGCUGCCCGAAUCUCUUCAGUGAAUUGACGGAAGAUGGAAAGCCACAUGAGCAAUACAUUCCAGAAGCUGUAACAUGUGAUGAAAAGGAACUGUUUAAGGGCAUUGUCUAUGUGGGAACACGUUAACAAUUUUGAUAAAGUCGUCCUCCAUGCUACAGAAAAAGAUGUACUUCAAUACAUAACAUCAUUCGAAGAAGCCGGCCUGCAUCAGCUACUACUUCAAAACAUUAAGAAUUCUGGCUACAUAAAACCAACACCUGUUCAGAAAGCUUCAGUUGUAGUUAUUCUUGCCAAAAGAGGUUUAAUUGCUUGUGCGCUCACGGGCUACGGAAAACGGUAAUCCAACUAAUUAACGCUGUGUAAUUUUGAAACCUUGGUGCCCUCGUACUGACUUGAUUCGAAUGGGUCGGUAUGAACUGGGUAAGUUGAAGUAAAAGUAAUUUUGAGUGGGCACGCCGGUGAUUGCGCCUACUAAAAGGUCCAAUUCCAUCUAAGAUACUCAACAAACCCUUCGUGAUAUUCGUUGAUUAAGUCAUCUAAAAUUUUACAUUUUUUCAUGCAGGCGGCGUACUUGGUACCGGUUAUGAACAUAUUGUUAGAACAAGGUGUUGUUGUUGCGUCUCAUGCCAUGGGGCAAAAGCCAGAAGUUGUAAUUGUCGCACCCACUCGUGAAUUGGCCAUUCAAAUUCACCGCGAGGCGUGUAAAUUCUCCUACAGUUCGGUUUUAAAGUCUGUGAUUAUAUAUGGAGGAAUUCUCACGAGCCAUCAACGGUCAAAUCUUCAAGCUGGGUGCAAUACUUUUGUCGCGACCGCGGGGCGAUUCAAUGAUUUUCUCGACCGUGAAGUAUUUGACUUCUCGGGAGUCAGGUUUUAAAUUUUGGACGAAGCUGAUCGAAUGCUUGAUAUGGGUUUCGGUCCCAAUGUUGAA